rnacentral:lncRNA from 1 species
AAAGAAUUUACGCCGCGGGAGAAAUCUUGGGCACGUGGUUGUGUUUGCACCAGGUUGUCCGUGGUUCUGACGGCCCUGCACGUAUGCAGUUUGCCCUGAGAGAGAAACCUGAGAGUUUUUGGCGAUAAAAGUCAGGAAUUAGUUGUGAAUGUGCGUGCUACUCUUUUGGACAACUUAAGUGAAGGGAAGGAGUAGGAGUGGUAGUGUAUGGGUCCCACUGAAUACUACGGCUCUUGGAACAAGAACAGAAUUGGGGGCCAGGGGUGGUGGCGCACGCCUUUAAUCCCAGAACUCUGGAUGGAGGCAGAGGCAGGCGGAUCUCUGUGAGUUCAAGGUAUCAGAGAUCAGGAAAGCCACAGGCCAAAUGCAGCAUUCCGGGUGUUUGUACCUGUGGUCAUAAGUGAUUGUUAUAGUAGAAAGCAUUGGAGGAAAAUCUACACAUCCAUACUUCAUAUUUACUUUAUAUAUAAUUCAUAUUUCCCUUUAUAGAAAAAAUUACAGACUAUAUGGAGUAAUCAAUCCAAAGUGUAUCUUCCAUUUAACUGUUUUCUUAUCAGUACAUUGAUAUCUGGGUUUAUAAAUUAGUCUGCCCUAAAACCCCAGAUCCAGUACCUCAUGACCUCAGAGAGGCUAAGGAGGAAGCAACUACUGGGGCUUUACCCCUCUGUUUCUGCAUGGCAUUUGAAUAAGUACCACUGGGUUUAGGUUAUGAAACAUUCACUUCCCAGUGAUUUGAACUGGGCAGCCUUCAUAGAAAAGGGGGCAAUUAAACUUUAGCUUGUCAGUGUAUAUCAGCAUGCCAGUGUGGAUAAAAUUAAAAAAAAAAAAAUCAGUGCCUUGGUGGGAAAAUUGGGGUGUUGUUUUGGAUAAGCUGUCUAACCUUACUGGGCUUGGGUCCAUAACACGAAGAAAAUAGACAACCCCUGAGAAGUCUACGAGUUCCAUCCUAAAUUAUGAAUGUCACACAAAGAAGUGUGAACAUGACUAUUAGAGUUGAAGGGCGUGAUGGAAUUAUUGUUUGGGGGAAGCUGAGUCCAUCGAUGUUACAGUUCAGAGCAGAUAACAGGUUUGAGCAGAGCUUCCUAUGUGCAUAGUGGUUCUCUUAGCCUUUGGAGCCAGCAGAGUCUCUUGUCCAGUUGCCACUGGCUGAAAUAGCCUUUCCUCAGUCUUCAGUUUACUGUAGUACAAAAGUCAAGAUUUCCUAUUGAUGCCACCACGAGAAGAGAUUGCGCAAGUCACAAAGACCCCCUAAGCCCAAUG